GGUACGGGGGUGCAGAGGGCGGUGGGAAUAGAGGGGGGGGGAGCGUUUAUCGGGGGGAGUGGGCGUAAAGGGGGUGUAGGAGGGGUAAUAAGGUGAUUGUGAAAUCCCUGGGCUUAACCUAGGAAGAGCAAUUAAGACUGUUGAGCUAGAGUACGGUAGAGGGUAGUGGAAGUUCCGGUGUAGCGGUGAAAUGCGUAGAGAUCGGAAGGAACACCAGUGGCGAAGGCGGCUACCUGGACUGAUACUGACACUGAGGCGCGAGAGCGUGGGGAGCAAACAGGAUUAGAUACCCGAGUAGUC
rnacentral:rRNA from 1 species